rnacentral:rRNA from 1 species
UACGGAGGAUGCGAGCGUUAUCCGGAUUUAUUGGGUUUAAAGGGUGCGUAGGCGGUUUGUCAAGUCAGCGGUGAAACGCAAGGGCUUAACCCAUGACCUGCCGUUGAAACUGGCGGACUUGAAUGCGGAUGCUGUGGGAGGAAUGUGUGGUGUAGCGGUGAAAUGCAUAGGUAUCACACAGAACACCGAUUGCGAAGGCAUCUCACGAAUCCGUGAUUGACGCUGAGGCACGAAAGUGUGGGGAUCAAAC